UAUCACAUCUCAGUGAUGAAGAAUUAAAUUUUUUUUAAAGUACCCUAACUGUACUUUAAAUGGGAUGAUAAAACAUGGGAAAUUAGUGACAGUGAUUGUGAAAGAAAAAUCACAGUUUUUUUGUGACACUGUAAAAAAAUCACAUAUUGUCCAUUAAGACAACUAAAGGCAAGUGAAAAAUGAGAGACUUAACUUAUAUGUCAGAUUACGCAAACAUCCACCUUCCUCUCAAUUCUAACUACCUAUACCUCUCUGUCUCUGCUGAUUGACUAUGGGGUUAACAUGAUCCUAUUCUCUCUCCUUCACUAAAAUCUGGAACACUUUUAUGUUCUCCAGUGAGAUUCUAGCAACACUACUUAAAACUCCUAUGACACACUAAAGAGAUUUAUUGAAAGUCUUCUCUUUGAAGCUUUCUCCAAGAUUGUUUUGGUGUAUUUUCCUGCCGUUGGAUGAACUGUUGAUGCUAGUUGGCAUGCUUAUAGGAAUUAAGGAGUUCAGAGUCUUUGGUGUGGUUAUUUGGGAUUGGGCAGAUAAAUACUGAGAGGGUUCUAAAUAAUAUCUCACAGCAUUGGUUUUCAAAUUUUAAUGUGCACACUGAUCACCCAGGGUUCUUGUUAAAAUGCAGAACCUCUUCCAUCCCAACACUGAGAUUGUGCAUUCCUAACAAGAUCCCAAAUUAUGCUACUAUUACUGGUGUAUGGGCUACAUUUUGAGUAGAAAAAAUUUAAAACAGUGGUUUUUAAAUUGAUACACCUCACAAUCACCUGAGUAGAUUUUUUUGGUAAUAAUAACAGCUUAAUGUGAUAUAAUUCAUAUGCCAUACAAUUCACUCAUUUAUAUUGUACAAUUCAACCAAUGGCUUUAGUACAUUUAUUGAGUUGUGCAACCAUCACCAAGAUGCAUUUUAGAAUAUUUUAAUCACCCUUCCCCCAAAACCUUUUACUCAUUAGAAGUACACUUUCUCCUUCUUUCUCACCUUUCCCACCUGCUAACACCUGCCAGGCUUAGGCAACCAGUAGUCUACUUUCUGUCUUUCAGAUUUGCCUAGUCUGGCCAUUUCAUGUAAAUGAAAUCAUACAAUAUGUGUUAUGACUGGUUUUUUUCACUUAGCACAGUGUUUUCCGGGUUUAUAGAUAUUGUAAACAUGUAUCAGUACUUUGUUACCCUUCAUAGGUAAAUACUAUUUCAUUGUAUGUACAGACCAUAUUUUAUUUAUCCAUUCAUUGGUUGAUGGACCCUUGGGCUAUUUCCACUUUUUGGCUAUUAUUAAUAAUGCCACUAUGUAUAUUUGUAUACCAGCUUUAUCCUGGAUAUAUGUUUUCAAUUUUCUUGUGUAUGUACCUGCAUUAGUUCAUUCUCAGGCUGCUAAUAAAGACAUAUCUGAGACUGGGUAAUUUAUAAAGGAAAGAGGCUUAAUUGACUUACAGUUCAGCAUGGCUGGGGGAAUCUCAAAAAACUUGCAAUCAUGGCAGAAGGGGAAGCAAAUAUGUCCUUCUUCACAUGGCACAGCAAGAAGAGGUGUCAAGAAAAGGGGGGAAGCCCCUUAAAAACCAUCACAUUUCAUGAGAACUCACUACUAUGAGAACUCGCUGUCAUAACAGCAGCAUGGGGCUCACUGUCUCCAUGAUUCAAUUACCUCCCACUGAAUCCCUCCUAUGACACAUGAGGAUUAUGAGAACUACAAUUCAAAAUGAGAUUUGGGCGGGGACACAACCAAACCAUAUUAUUCCACCCCUGGACCCUCCCAAAUCUCAUGUCCUCACAAUUCAAAACACAAACAUGCCCUUCCAACAGUCCCCCAAAAUCUUAAACUCAUUCCAGCAUUAACUCAAAAGUCCAAGCCCAAAGUCUUAUCCGAGACAAGGCAAGUCCCUUCCGCCUACGAGCCUGUAAAAUCAAAAGCAAGUUAGUUACUUCCUAGAUACAAUGGGGGUACAGGCAUUGGGUAGACAUGCCUCUUGCAAAUGGGAGAAAUUGGCCAAAACAAAGGAGCUAGAGGCCCCAUGCAAGUCUGAAAUCCAAUAGGGCAGUCAUUAAACCUUAAAGUUACAAAAUGAUAUCCUUUGACUCCAUGUCUCACAUGCAAGGCAUGGUGAUGCAAAAGGUGGGCUUCCAUGAUCUGGAGCAGCUCCACUCCUGUGGCUUUGGAGGGUACAGCACCCAUUCCUGGUGGCUUUCAUGGGCUAGCAUUGAGCGCCUGCUGUCUUUCCAGGCACACAGUGUAAGCUGUUGGUGGAUCUGUCAUUUUGGGUCUGGAGGACAGUGGCCCUCUUCUCCGAGUUCCACUAGGCAGUGCCCCAUUGGGGAUGCUGUGUGGGGGUUCUGACUCCAUGUUUCCCUUCUGCAUUGACAUAGCAGAGAUUCUCCAUGAGGGCUCUGCCCCUGCAGCAAACUUCUGCUUGGAUAUCCAGGAGUUUUCAUACAUCCUCUAAAAUCUAGGCAGAGGCUCCCAAACCUCAAUUCUUGACUUCUGUGCACCCAUAGGCUCAAGCCUGAGCUGUACAUUGGCCCUUUUUACCCAUAACUGGAGCUGAAGCAGCUGGAAUGCAGGGGACCAUGUUCUGAGGCUAUACAGAGCAGGGAGGCCCUGGGCCCAGCCCAUGAAACCAUUUUUCCCUCCUAGGCCUCCAGGCCUAUGAUGGGAGGGGCUACUGUGAAGGUCUCUGACAUGCCCUGGAAACAUUUUCCCUAUUCUCUUGUUGAUUAACAUUUGGCUCCUUGUAACUUAGUUACUUCUGCAAAUUUCUGCAGUUGGCUUGAAUUUCUCCCCAGAAGAUGGGGUUUUCUUUUUUGUUGCACCCUCAGGCUGUAAAUUUUCCAAACUUUUAUGCUCUGCUUCUUUUUUUGUUUUGAGAUAGAGUCUCACUCUGUCACCCAGGCUGGAAUGCAGUGGUGUGAUCUUAGCUCACUGCAACCUCUGCUUUCCAGGUUCAAGCAAUUCUGCCUCAGCUUCCCUAGUAGCUGGGGUUACAGUUGCAUGCCACCAUGCCUGACUAAUUUUUGUAUUUUUAGUAGAGAAGGGGUUUCACCAUGUUGGCCAGACUAGUCUCAAACUCCUGACUUCAGGUGAUCCACCUUCCUCGACCUGCCAAAGUGCUGGGAUUACAGGCAUGAGCCACCACACCUGGCCUCUGCUUCUUCUUGGACACUUUGCUCUUUAGAGAUUUCUUCUGCCAGAUACCCUAAAUCAUCUCUAUAAAGUUCAAAGUUCCACAGAUCUCUAGGGCAGGAGCAAAAUGCUGCCAGUCUCUUUGCAUAGCAAGAGUGGCCUUUACUCCAGUUUCCAAGUUCCUCAUCUCCAUCUGAGACCACCUCAGCCUGGACUUCAUUGUCCAUAUCAGCAUUUUGGUCAAAGCCAUUCAACAAGUCUCUAGGAAGUUCCAAACUUUCCCACAUCUUCCUGUCUUCUUCUGAGCCCUCCAAAAAUGUUUCAACCUCUGCCUGUUACCCAGUUCCAAAGUUGCUUCCACAGUUUUGGGUAUCUUUACAGCAACACCCCACUCUCUGGUACCAAUUUACAGUAUUAGUCAGUUCUCACAUUGCUAAUAAAAACAUACCCAAGACUGGGUAAUUUUUAAAGGAAAGAGGUUUAAUUGAAUCAUAGUUCAGCACAGCUGGGGAGGCCUUAGGAAACUUGCACUCAUGGCAGAAAGGGAAGCAAACAUGUCCUUCUUCACAUGAUGGCAGGAAGAGAACUGCCAAACAAAGGAGAAAUAUCCCCUUUAAAACCAUCUGAUCUCACAAGAAUUCACUAUCAUAAGACCAGCAGCAUGGGGGCAACUGCCCCUAUAAUUCAAUUACCUCCCACCAGGUACUUCCCGUGACACAUGGGGAUUGUGGGAACUACAAUCCAAGACGAGAUUUGGGUAGGGACACCAAACCAUAUCAAUACCUAAGAGAGGAAUUACUGGGACAAGGGGGAACUCUAUGUUUAACUGCCCAACUGCCCAACUGUUUUCCGAAGUUGCCAUACCACUUUACAUUCCCAUUGGCAGUGUAUGAGAAUUCAAAUUUCUUCACAUCUUCAUCAAAACUUGUCUGUUUGAUCAGAGCUAUUUCAAUGGGUGUGAUAUAUCACAUUGUGAUUUUGAUUUGCCUUGUUGGUGGCUAAUAAACAGAUUUUAACAAAUAUUUAUUCCUAGACCCCACCACAGACCUACUGGAUCAGAAUCUCUGAGAGUUUGGAGAUGGAGAAAUCAUUUUUACUAAAUUCUUCAGGACCAAAGAUUUGCAGUCUGAGCAGCUGGAUUGCUUCCUGUCACUAUUCUGUCCUUGGAGACAUUUGGCCCAUUAAAGGGAGCCCACGGAUUCCAUUUCAACAGAUGCUCCUCACAUUUAUUCAGGAUCUAAGUGAUAGGGUGACUCAUUGUGUUGCUAAUACAAUUACAGUCUUUGUUGUUUAAGAAUCAUAUCUUGAUUUCAUAUAGGCGAAGAGAUUUAAAAGAACAAUGUAUGUGUGACACUGUCAGAGAAACUAGAUUGUUCCUACUUGGAAAUAAAAUGCAUAGUUUGUUAUUUGACUUAUAGCCUUAGGAGAAUGCACAUAGCAUGUGGGGCUUUCUGAAAUUCAGUAAAAAGUCAUGGAUUCCUAAGUUUGUGAUUGAAAAACUCAUCAGGGGGUGCUGUAAGUAGCUGGCUGCUGGGAAAUAAAAAAGGAGGAAAGAACUUGUUGACUUUCUUUCAUAUUUGGCACAAAUUCUACCUUUACGUCAGUAAAAGAUUCUGGCAAGGACAGUAUUUGAAUUUUAGUUGUGAUUGCUCUUGGACCAAGGCAUAUAUAUAAAUAUAUAUUUUCCAAAGAUAAUUUUUGAAUGGACUUUAUUAAGCUAUUCCUGUUUCUCCUUCAAAAAUGUCUGUCCUCUGCCUCUUUACCUUUUUUUUUUUCCCUCUACUUUUGACUCCCAAUUUCUGUAGGGACUAUUGAGAUAGGAGGAAGAGUGAGUAGGCUGGAGUGAGAGAACUGCUUAUUCUUCCUUAGACUCCUUUUCUGGGGCUCAAAAGUAUGUUUAGCUGGUUAUAGAAAAGAAAGUGCUUAUCUUCUUCGGGGUCUUAUCAUACAUGGAUAAGCAGAAAAGGUAUCCCUGUGAUUUUUCUGUAAGGCCUGAAUUUAUAAAUAAUUUAAGAAAAGAUCUGAGUUUGAAUCCCAGUUCAGCUACUUACUAGUUGAGUGACCCAGAGCAAAUUAUUCUCUUAAUAAGAGACAUUUUUCUUAAAAUGGAGAUAUGAUAGUACCCACCUCAUAGGAUGAUCAAAGGGGUAUGAAAUGAUGUGACUGUGACAUAUUUGGUACCCGAUAAAUGUUAGCUCUUCUUAUAUUUAUACUAUCAAGCCUGAUUUGUGGCUAAAUGCAUAAAAGUUAUGGAAUAUUAGGAAGCCAGCUCCAGUGAACUAAAUGAGAAGGAAGAGGGGAUAUAGUUUUGACAUGUGGCCUAUUAUUCGAUUUCUGCUGGCCCAGUAAUCUCAAACAUAAAUAACUAUAUACCAAUAAUAGAAUUAGGCAUUUUUUUAAAGAAUGUAUUAAUAAUAAUUUGAUUUAACAAUAAGCAGAGAAUAAAAGCAUGUCACAUAGGUAAACGGAAUUAAGAUGAAGUAAGAAUUAUUGACUUGAGGUGGGCAAAAUCUUGAUGUUUUGUGCUUAAGAGUGUUACCAGAAAGCCAUACACUUUGGAGAUAGAUAUAGCUGGGUUCAAAUCCCAAUUCCUGGAGUUACUAGUUGUGCAAAUUAAGGAUGUUUUCAUUUUCUUUUCUGUAAUAUAUGGCUAAAUAUACCUCCCCAGAAGAUUGAAAAUACUAAAUGGCAUAAGACCUGAAGUAAUACAACUCCUAGAAUAGAACAUAGGGGAAAAGCUCCUUGAUAUUAACCUUGGCAAUGAUUUUUGGGACAUAAUACCAAAACCUCAGGCUACAAAGGCAAGAAUAAAUAAUUAGGAGUACAUAAAACUGGAAAGCUUCUGUGCAGUAAAGGAAACAAUCAACAAAAUGAAAAGGCAACCUAUGGACUGAGAAAAAAUAUUUGCAAACCACAUGUCUGAUAAGGGGUUAAUAUCCAAAAUUUAUAAGGAACUCUUACAAGUCAAUAGCAGAAAAACAAAUAACCAGGUUUGAAAAUGGACAAAUACCUGAACAGACAUUUUUUUGAAGAAGACAUAAAAAUGGCCAACAGAUGUAUGAAAAUGUGUUAAGCAUCGCCAAUCAUCAAGGAAACACACACGAAUAGCACCAUGAAAUAUCACCUGACACCCAUUAGGAUAGCUAUUAUUAAAAAGACAAGAAAUAACAAAUGUUGGUGAGGGUGUGGAGAAACGGAAAUCCUGAACCACCAUAAGACCCAGCAAUCCAUCUUCUGGGCGUUUACCCAAAGGAUAUAAAAUCAUCAUCUUGUAAAGACAUCUGUACUCUUAUGUUUUUUGCAGUGUUAUUCAUAAUAGCUAAAAUAUAGAAACAACCUAUAUAUCCCUUGACAGACAAAUGGAUUAAGAAAAUAUGGUAAUGUAUAAAUACAAUGGAAUGUUAUUCAGCCUUAUAAAAGAAGGAGAGCCUGCCAUUUUCCACAACAUGGAUGAACAUGGACAAUAUUAUGUCAAGUGAAAGAAGCAAGACACGGAAAGAAAAAAUAUUGCAUGAGCUUACUUAUGCAACAUGCAAUAUUUAUGCAUAUGCAAAAAUAUUCAAUAUUUAUGUGGACUAUUAAAAAAAGUCAGAUAUACAGAGUAGAGAUAUAAAAAACAAUACAGCAGAUACUAAGAACCAGAAGAGGAGAGAGGUAAUGAGGAGAUGCAGGUCAAAAGAUAGAAAGUAGCAGAUAUGUGGGAUGAACAAGUCUAGAGAUCUAAUGUACAACAUGAUGACUGUAGUUAAUAGAAUUGUAUUGUACUAGGGAGUUUUAAGGGGAUUUUAGCUCCUCUUGCUACAAAAAAUAAAGUAACUAUGUGCAAUGAUAGCUAUGUUAAUCAGUUUCACUAUAGUAACCAUUUUAUUAUCUAUGUGUAUCUCAUAAUAUUAUGUUGUAAACUUCAAAUAUAUGCAAAAAAAUGUAUUUUAAAAAGAAUAAAUAUCUGUACAGGAAAUAAAAAGGGAAAG
rnacentral:lncRNA from 10 species